rnacentral:rRNA from 22 species
AUCAAGUGCCUUAAGAGCAUUCGGUGGAUGCCUUGGCGCUGAGAGGCGAUGAAGGACGUGGUACGCUGCGAUAAGCCUUGGGGAGCUGCGAACGAGCUUUGAUCCAGGG